GUUAACUACCGCCUCAAAAAAUAAUGUAUAUAGUGUCACAUUUGUCAUAACUUACCCACCAUAGGUAUAACAUUGACCACAACCAAUUGUAUAGAAUUUUUUUACCACAAAUAGUCGUAACAUUUCUACAAUAAUGUAUAACAAACAAUUUUCACUAUGUGUGACAUACUCCCUCGAGAUUUUCACCAUAAUGAUCAUAAUAACACAAUAAUUAACCAUAAAUUUAGCACAAUCGAUCGUAAAAUAUUUUAUAAAGCAUUGUGUGGUACUAUAAAACCGGCCACAAGAUGAAAACAUUUGGACGUCCCAUCACGCAUUAUAGAAACUCUUAGAGGCUGACACAAAUUGGUGGCCACAGACUGAUAAAACCCUUCCACAAGGGCUGGUGAUGGGUCGCCUCGGUGAGGUCAAGAGCUGAGAGGACCCCCCUCGGGUAGCAAGAAGGAAAAACAUGUGAAAUCCAACAUUAAGGCCUAGCAGCUGAAGUUAACACACUGUGCAUCGGGUAAGCGUGGGGUAAUCACUAAGUCAAACCCUACCUCCGGUUUGGACCUCAUGAGACCGCUCAAUGCUAAGCGUAGCCAUUAUGAGGUUUAACGGUCGAAAUCUUGCUCAACCAAGGCAUAACACUUGAGAUUGUCAGGUCCGUGGCCAAGAGAACAAUCCGAGGUACCACACCCCAUUAACGCCCUAUAUUAGAGAGAAUGAAACCCUCGAAGAAGUUCCAAUCCUCUGAGUUCAACUCUAUACACGAGAAUUCAAACUCUAGGUUCUCACAUCAUCCAUUUCAAACAAUGAGGCACUUUAAAUCAUUCGAUGACUCAUGUGCGGGAUAUUUUCAUCACUUGGGGAUCUCCGGGUUGAAAUGGUUUGAUAAGCUUCCCGAUAGAUCCCUUGGGAGCUUUUACCCAACUUACCGAUUCAUACUUACUUGGUUUGUUAUCAACACAAAUGCACCAAGUGGUCAACUGCUCUACUGACAUUAGAAAAGGCCAGAAUGAAAUGGCUUCACAACUAUAGAAAAGUUAUUAGGACUGUACAAAGAGAUCGGAGGGUGUUCAGAAAAGCUAGCCAUGGUCAGCUACAAGCCUGGGCUGACCUCAAGCGAGAAGCUUGGGAGGACCUGACGCUCAACUCUCCAGUUGACCUCUAGAAUCUCAUGUCUCGGGUCAAAAUGUUCGCUCAGUCCAGCCAGCGAUGAGGAAGCCAAGAUAAGGCAUGUCCGAGCCAAGAAGCAUCACUGUUUUACCAACGGCAGAUUUUGAGGCGGUUCAGUACCCCACAACGAUCCUUUGGUCUCCAAUUGCAGAUCCAUGGCUACGAUUCAAACGAUCUUUGAACUCCAGCAUUUUAGUUGAAGGUGAUGUAUUAUGAACUUUUUUAAUAAAUUAAACGUUUGAGGUUGCCUCUAAAGCCGGCCCUAGCUUUGUUAGUCGGGUCAACACUUGUCCCAUUGGCCAUUGAGAACUGUAACCUCAAGAAUCCAGAUGGUUUCCAAGUAGUUAGUGACAGAGUUCAUGUUUAUUAAUCUCGCUUCCUUGAUGCAAUCGUCGAUCGAGAUUUGUUUACAUAAGAGGAAGGAAGUAUGCAUCACAUUCACAAGGUCCUCAGGUUUGUCGCUCGCCAAGGUAGAGAACCACUCCAUGGAGAACCAAUGGCGUAAAGACAAUGGCUAUCUCAUAACAAUAUCAUAAAGGCAUCAUGAAGAAGAGCGCUGGUGGAACUGGAGAGGGAGUCUGAACAAUCUUAAAAUAAGCCCCAGGUCAGUCAAAAUAUACUUCCUAUACCUCGAUAAGCAAUCCUGACUAUUAUUCCAUGUUCAGAAAUGAAUAGUCGCAAGAGGAGAAAACUAUUUAUAGGAAGUCCAAGAGAUGGGCAAAUAUUCGAACACACCCUUAAGGAAUGUUGUUUGCCAGGCCAAGAAUUCUGGCUCUGAACCAAUCGGGAGCGAACAUGUGGUGACUCAAUCACCUCGCGUCCAAGCCAAACAACCCUUAAGGGUAGGCAUCCGUGCUCAAACCGAGCUUAAGGUGAGUCAGACUUUGACACGUGGCACCGUAAUACAGCAAAGUGACAAAUCCAUAAAGAGUUUAGACAGCUUGCAGGCACUGGCACAACUAUCUUGUCGAGCUUCAGCAUUAAACAUCACAAAUAUCAAACUCACAUGACCUCACUAGCAGUAGAUCUAGCUCAGGCGAAACUGAGGACAAUUAUAGGAUAAAAUAUUACGUAAAAGCUCUGGCUGAGCUCAGGCAGCACCGCUGCCGGAUUGUUGCUCUAUACAACAAGCUCGGCUAGGUCUUUGCCUGGGCUUGGUCUAGAUGCAACAUUAGUCUUCAGUUAGCACACUGUGUCAAAUUUGUCACUCCAAGCACUCGGAGGGUCACUGCACCAGGAACUUGGUCAAGGACGCAAUGGUCCGUGGUGAUCCCAGCACAUUAGGAGACUGAAGGUGACUUGCUGGUAAGGUCUACGCCUACUACUCAUAACACAGCAAUCA
rnacentral:lncRNA from 1 species